rnacentral:sRNA from 1 species
UUGGUAGCCCUCAAGGCUGAAGUCUUCUAUGUAUUCAUAAAACAGCUACAGCACAGGCAAUAGCAGUGCAAGAUUCAUCAUGCUGCUUAGAAAACAGUGCUGCACAGAAGAAACCAUAUUAGCCACCAGAAGGUGCUUCAACUUUUGGGUCAUUCAGCUUGAUCCAAAG